rnacentral:lncRNA from 1 species
AUGGUAUGCAGAGGGAGGUGUGACACAGAAGCACAGGAGAAGAACCAUCAGAGACACAAGCAGUGACUAGGCUUACAUUGUCACAAGCAAAGGAACACCUGGGACCCGAAGAGCAGAAGUUUCUCCCCGGACCCUCUGAAUGGGCAGAAGGACUGCAGACCACUUACUUUUGAACGUCUUGCUUGCAGAACCGUAAAUAACCACUCAUAAGCUUGGGUUGUGAAAUUCUCAGAGGCAAGCUCAUCACCAGAUGUGGCCCACAGAGAGAAGAGCCCCAGCCUGGCUCUGAGUCCACAUGCAAGGAAGGGCGACCAUGCCCAGAAGAGGAGGUGAGCUACUAUAGGUGGGGCUUAAGACUUAACUGGGAAGUUGGUCACACAUGCUAUUCCCACAGGCAUGGUGGGUGUUGUCAGAAAGGUAAGCGUUGAUGUGAGAACCAUCCACGGACAUGAUACAGAAUGUCUGUGGCCACCCAUCCUACACACUCACACCUGCAUGUGUGUGUCCAGUACAUGUAGAGGCCAAAAGUCCACCUCAAGUGUCUCUCCUCAGGUUCUGUUCACCUUGCUCUUUGAGGCAGGGACUUUCAUUGAAACCCUGGGUUAGUUCAGUCCUCCAUUAAGCCCUGAGAAUCCUUUUGUCUCUGCCUCUCCAGGGCUGGGAUUACAGUGUGCCUGGUGCUGAGGAUCAAACUAGGGUCCUAUGCUCACAUGGCAAGCACUUUAUUGCCUGAGCUUUCUUCUGAGACCCUUUUCUCAUUGGCUUCUGAAGUGUCAAGGUCUAUCAACCUGUGUCUGGAAUGGGACUUCUGGUACACCUCUUCUUCAAUCUGGGAUAUCUGGUAGACCUCUUCUUCAAUCUGGGACUUCUGGUAGACCUCUUCUUCAAUCUGCCUUAUCAAAUCUAGUUGUCUUCAAGUUAGUGUAACUCUAUCCUUUCUGUUUCUCAGGACAAAACACUGGGUGUCAUCCUUGACUCCUCUCUACCUCACCUUCCCUUCCAAUGUCCAGCAUUAGACAUAUGCCUAGCAUGCAGCUUGUCUCUCCAGCUCGCCACUGCCAUGUCCUCGUUUAAAACACUUCAUCUUUCCCCUAGACUGUCACCUAAGUUUCCACAGUCAUCUCUCUGUUCCCCUUUGUCUCUGCAUCGCACUCCAUCCCACCCCAGUCCAUCAUUCAGACCUGUAACAGCCCUCAUGUUCCUUAAAGUAAAAACAGAAGUUAUUCCCCUUACAUACAAGGUCCCACGGGUCCCGAUGCCUAUAAUCUUCCAUUCAGUUCCUUGGUUCCAGACGAAUCUCCAUUGUGACGUUGCUAGAAGAUGCUUGGUGGGACAAUGUAGAAGGUUUCCUCCCUGGUUUCAGAGCAGGCUGCUGCAGGUAGGAGGCAGACAUGCCCUCAUUGCUCUACUUACACAUGUCAUCCCUUAUGCCUCUUCUGUUGCUGUGGUGAGAGUAUAACCUCAUCCAUCACCUAUGGUGGAAAGUUUAUGCUUUCUUGUGUGCUGCCCUUGAAGGCAGGGACUGAGUCUGACUCACGGCAGUGACAGGUAUGUCAGAAACCUGCCUUACUUAUCAUCUAAUGCAAGUGUGUGUUCAUGUGUGUGCAGGUGCAUGUGUGUACAUGUGCACAUGGAGGGUAGAGAUCAGCCUCAAGUGUCGUUUCCCAGUCCAAUUUGUCGUUUCCCAGUUUUGGAGACAGCAUCUUUAUCUUUCACUGGCCUGGAGCUUGCCUGGUAGACUAGGCUGGCCAACCAGUGAGCCUUCCUGUCUCAUCUCCCCAGUGCUGGGACUACGAACACGCCACCAUGCCCAGACUUAUUUCUUUCCAUAUGGAGUUGGAGAUCAAACUCAGGCCUCCACACUUUUGAGGUAAGCAUUUGAGUAACUGAGCCGGCUCAUCAGACUAGGAUGUACUUUAUUGAAGGGUACCCUUGGUGCAAGUCAGGAAGUCCAAAGAAAGCAGCACAGGACAGGUUGCCUCUUCUGCUCUUAGAGAUGUCAUUUGCAAAAUGGGUCAAAGGAAAUAGUCUUCUCUGAAGAGACUUAGAUUUUUAUUGCUUAAAUUAUUUCACAGGAAUAACCUUAAGCCAGACCAUUUCCAAACAUCCUGGAAAUUGCUCACUUUUCUGACUCUUUCCUCUGUGUCCAAAUAGAUAGAAGUUCUGCUUCACCUACUAACUCCCCAGAGUUCACUCCUUGGUUCCUCAUUUUACAGGUUACCUCCCUCCCCCAGCUUCCACCUGCCUUUAGCAAGGGACACCUUCCAUGAUAAACCAGGCAGGCCUGGCAUUUUCCACAAUCCCCACCUGAGUCUUCUGAUAGACCUGAGGAGAGGCAAAGUUCCUCAUAGACGGAUGCCGGGAACACACAAUGCAUGGGGAUGCCAUGGAGGACGGCAGAGAGGACUGAGGCCUUCAGCUCCCCUGAAGCAACAUUUACUUGACAUUGUAAACCGAGGGAUGCACACUGGGGAUGGGACUCUGACCCUCUGUGAGAACAGCCCAGGAACUGUGUGUUGCAUUGCGGAAACCCUCUGAAGGGUCAGCACUGUCGAAACAAAACAAAGUCAAAAUGAAGACCCCAGGCACCCAGUUUAAUGCAAGCUGGAGUUCAGAUGUUGUCUCAGAUAUGAUUCUUAUUCAGCCAGUCAGUAUGUGUUUCCUGAAAUCUCACUGGUGUCACAGAGAGACAGCAGAGUGAUAUGCGUUGGCGGCCGGAUGACUUGAAAUGGCACUGCAAACACAAGAUGAUUUUACUUACGAAAUAUGGAGUUUUCAUAAAAUAGUUUGGGAUGAAGGAGACGGAGAAAAAGAACAAUGGGAAACCCCAGAAGACAAAACCUUUAAAAGUUCUUACGUGCUUGGUAUGCCUCUCCCUACUAAAUGUAAAAGAAAUCCCCCCAAAUAAAUAGUUUAAGAAAGUUUUGUAAACAGCAACUUAAUAAAAUUUACCCUAAUAAAGCUUUAUCAUCUGGUUUCAACAACAA